rnacentral:rRNA from 1 species
UGUGUCAGUUUUCGGGCGGCGUCUACAGCGCUAUGACCGCUACGGCGCGGUUGUCAAGUGACAGCCGGCGCGGUGAACGAUCGUGGGGGAUAACGGAGCGAAAGCUUUGCUAAUACCGCAUACGAUCUACGGAUGAAAGCGGGGGAUCUUCGGACCUCGCGCGGACGGAGCGGCCGAUGGCAGAUUAGGUAGUUGGUGGGAUAAAAGCUUACCAAGCCGACGAUCUGUAGCUGGUCUGAGAGGAUGAUCAGCCACACUGGGACUGAGACACGGCCCAGACUCCUACGGGAGGCAGCAGUGGGGAAUUUUGGACAAUGGGGGCAACCCUGAUCCAGCCAUGCCGCGUGCAGGAUGAAGGCCUUCGGGUUGUAAACUGCUUUUGUACGGAACGAAAAGACUCUGGUUAAUACCUGGGGUCCAUGACGGUACCGUAAGAAUAAGCACCGGCUAACUACGUGC